UCAUGCUCAAGUUAACCAUGUCAAUAGAAUCCUCAAGUGUCAAACAAAGAAAUGGCUAGCCUCGAAGGUGUAGUCAGAAGUGACUCAUGUGUCGAACAGAGGGUGUACUUUGUUCGAGGGCUCCAGAGAAAGGAGUUGAGUCGAGUCUCGAUUAAGGGGAGGCUAUUCGAGAGCU